rnacentral:rRNA from 1 species
AUUGAACGCUGGCGGCAGGCCUAACACAUGCAAGUCGAACGAGUGGCGGACGGGUGAGUAAUGUCUGGGAAACUGCCUGAUGGAGGGGGAUAACUACUGGAAACGGUAGCUAAUACCGCAUACCAUCGGAUGUGCCCAGAUGGGAUUAGCUAGUAGGUGGGGUAAUGGCUCACCUAGGCGACGAUCCCUAGCUGGUCUGAGAGGAUGACCGGCAACACGGGAACUGAGACACGGCACAGACGCCUACGGGAGGCAGCAGUGGGGAAUAUUGCACAAUGGGCGAAAGCCGGAUGCAGCCAUCCCGCGUGUGUGAAGAAGGCCUUCGGGUUGUAAAGCACUUUCAGCGAGGAGGCGUUACCCGCAGAAGAAGCACCGGCGAACUCCGUGCCAGCCGCCGCGGUAAUAC